rnacentral:rRNA from 1 species
GAUGAACGCUGGCGGCGUGCCUAAUACAUGCAAGUCGAGCGAACAGACGAGGAGCUUGCUCCUCUGACGUUAGCGGCGGACGGGUGAGUCACACGUGGAUAAACUACCUAUAAGACUGGGAUAACUUCGGGAAACCGGCGCUACACCGGAUAAUAUAUUGAACCGCAUGGUUCCAUAGUGAAAGACGGUUUUGCUGUCACUUAUAGAUGGAUCCGCGCCGCAUUAGCUAGUUGGUAAGGUAACGGCUUACCAAGGCAACGAUGCGUAGCCGACCUGAGAGGGUGAUCGGCCACACUGGAACUGAGACACGGUCCAGACUCCUACGGGAGGCAGCAGUAGGGAAUCUUCCGCAAUGGGCGAAAGCCGGACGGAGCAACGCCGCGUGAGUGAUGAAGGUCUUCGGAUCGGAAAACUCUGUUAGUAGGGAAGAACAAAUGUGUAAGUAACUAUGCACGUCUUGACGGUACCUAGUCAGAAAGCCACGGCUAACUUCGUG